rnacentral:rRNA from 1 species
GUCGAACGAUGAAGCUGGAGCUUGCUCCGGCCGAUUAGUGGCGAACGGGUGAGUAACACGUGAGCAAUCUGCCCUUGACUCUGGGAUAACUGCGGGAAACUGUAGCUAAUACCGGAUACUUUCCUCGCUGGGCAUCCAGCGGGGAAGAAAGAAUUUCGGUCAAGGAUGAGCUCGCGGCCUAUCAGCUAGUUGGUGAGGUAAAGGCUCACCAAGGCGACGACGGGUAGCCGGCCUGAGAGGGUGACCGGCCACACUGGAACUGAGACACGGUCCAGACUCCUACGGGAGGCAGCAGUGGGGAAUAUUGCACAAUGGGCGAAAGCCUGAUGCAGCAACGCCGCGUGAGGGAUGAAGGCCUUCGGGUUGUAAACCUCUUUUAGCAGGGAAGAAGCGAAAGUGACGGUACCUGCAGAAAAAGCACCGGCUAACUACGUGCCAGCAGCCGCGGUAAUACGUAGGGUGCAAGCGUUGUCCGGAAUUAUUGGGCGUAAAGAGCUCGUAGGCGGUUUGUCACGUCUGCUGUGAAAAUCCGAGGCUCAACCUCGGACUUGCAGUGGGUACGGGCAGGCUAGAGUGCGGUAGGGGAGAAGGGAAUUCCUGGUGUAGCGGUGGAAUGCGCAGAUAUCAGGAGGAACACCAAUGGCGAAGGCACUUCUCUGGGCCGUAACUGACGCUGAGGAGCGAAAGCGUGGGGAGCGAACAGGAUUAGAUACCCUGGUAGUCCACGCCGUAAACGGUGGGUGCUAGCUGUGGGCCACAUUCC